rnacentral:ncRNA from 1 species
GGCCGGGUGGAGAGGCGUUAAUAAAACACCCGCAAGGGGAAUAGGCCCGGAGCAACUUAUGGUGCUCUAGUUGACACCCGGCUACCAGCUA